rnacentral:rRNA from 1 species
UCUUGGUCAUUUAGAGGAAGUAAAAGUCGUAACAAGGUUUCCGUAGGUGAACCUGCGGAAGGAUCAUUAAUGAAAUCUAUACGUCUGAGAGAGGUUGUUGCUGGUCCCCUCCUGGGGUGCAUGUGCACGCUUUGAUCGGAUGUUUAUGUCCUCCUUUACACCUGUGCACCAACUGUAGCUGGGGAUGAUCACGGAGCUGUCGGUUCCGAAUGCCCUCGCUAUGAAUGUUUUUACACCCUAUAAUAAAGUUUUUUUGGAAUGUUUCAUCUGCGUGUAACAGCGCGAAUUAAAUACAACUUUCAGCAACGGAUCUCUUGGCUCUCGCAUCGAUGAAGAACGCAGCGAAAUGCGAUAAGUAAUGUGAAUUGCAGAAUUCAGUGAAUCAUCGAAUCUUUGAACGCACCUUGCGCUCCUUGGUAUUCCGAGGAGCAUGCCUGUUUGAGUGUCAUGAAAUUAUCAACUGCUUUGGCUUUUGUUUCAAAGUGAAGUUGGAUUUGGAGUGUUUGCCGGCGUGUUCGGCUCCUCUCAAAAGCAUCGAACCUUCUCUUGGGGCAGAAAGUAUCUUUGAUGUGAUAAUCAUCUACGUCGCAGAGAAAGCUCCGAGUGGAAGUGUGCUUGUGUGGAAGGGAAAGUUGUUAUGACCUCCCUCUUCCCUCAUUUGACAAGUUCGACCUCAAAUCAGGCAGGACUACCCGCUGAACUUAAGCAUAUCAAUAAGCGGAGGAAAAGAAACUAACAAGGAUUCCCCUAGUAACUGCNAGUGAAGCGGGAAAAGCUCAGAUUUGAAAUCUGGCGUGCCUCCGGUCGUCCGAGUUGUAGUCUGGAGAAGCGUCUUCCGUGCUGGACCGUGUACAAG